GCCUUCGUGGUAUAGUGGUCAGCACGCUCGACGCGUAGCAGAGAGGUCCGUGGUUCGAUUCCGGGCGAAGGCA
rfam:Stegodyphus mimosarum contig40948, whole genome shotgun sequence.